rnacentral:lncRNA from 1 species
UCUCGUAUAUUUUUGCUUUCCUACUCUCUUUUCUAAUUUGUAUGUAUGAAUCAAAUCGAGGAUGGUCUAAACCAUCCUUUGUCUGGAAAGAAAAGAAUAAAAAUCCUAAGGUUCAUGUCUCCAUGCUUCCAACGUUGAGAUUCCUUGUUUAUGUCAAGAACAGAGAGAGAGAGAGAGAGAGAGAGAAGAUCAAUACUUUUCUGAUAUUGGACAAGCCAUGCUUCUGAUUUCAACUAUGGUGUUAAAGUUUUGCAGGGCACUCAAAAUUUUUCUUCCUUUC